rnacentral:rRNA from 1 species
UAGGGAAUCUUCCACAAUGGACGCAAGUCUGAUGGAGCAACGCCGCGUGAGUGAAGAAGGUCUUCGGAUCGUAAAACUCUGUCGUUAGAGAAGAACACGAGUGAGAGUAACUGUUCAUUCGAUGACGGUAUCUAACCAGCAAGUCACGGCUAACUACGUGUCAG